AGGAGCGAAACAACCAUUCUAGACUUGUUUGGAAUAAAAUAUUUAACUUCUACCAUUGUAUCAGACAGAUGUCUCCACCUUUCCACUAUUUCUUUGUAAAUUUGAUCGAGAUUUGUGUCCUCGGAGACGGAAAUAAUAAGAGCUUCGCCACCAUAAGAACAAAUAGCCAUGAAAACAGGGCUACUUGUUUUUUUGGAAGCCAUGACAAUGGAAAAAUGAAAAAAGGGGAAAUGAUUGAAGUUCCGAAUGCUAUUACAACAAUGAAGCGAAGGGAAUGCUGCCACAGCAACUAUUUUUCGAAUAUGAUAUCAGCAAUGAGAGUCACACGUUUAGAUCUC
rnacentral:lncRNA from 1 species